GAUGAACGCUGGCGGCGUGCCUAAUACAUGCAAGUCGAGCGAAUGGAUUAAGAGCUUGCUCUUAUGUAGUUAGCGGCGGACGGGUGAGUAACACGUGGGUAACCUGCCCAUAAGACUGGGAUAACUCCGGGAAACCGGGGCUAAUACCGGAUAAUAUUUUGAACUGCAGGGUUCAAAAUUGAAAGGCGGAUUCGGCUGUCACUUAUGGAUGGACCCGCGUCGCAUUAGCUAGUUGGUGAGGUAACGGCUCACCAAGGCAACGAUGCGUAGCCGACCUGAGAGGGUGAUCGGCCACACUGGGACUGAGACACGGCCCAGACUCCUACGGGAGGCAGCAGUAGGGAAUCUUCCGCAAUGGACGAAAGUCUGACGGAGCAACGCCGCGUGAGUGAUGAAGGCUUUCGGGUCGUAAAACUCUGUUGUUAGGGAAGAACAAGUGCUAGUUGAAUAAGCUGGCACCUUGACGGUACCUAACCAGAAAGCCACGGCUAACUACGUGCCAGCCGCCGCGGUAA
rnacentral:rRNA from 1 species